AUUCAGCUGACGUGUCCCAAAUAGAACGAAAUGAGCGUCAAACCGGAU
rnacentral:hammerhead_ribozyme from 1 species